ACGUCACUCCUCCCUCUCCAUCGCCGCCCUCCCCCACCUCGUCCUCAUCGCGUGUCAUGCUUCCGGGCUCCGGCCCUCCGCGACCCUACUCCACCUCCCCCGGCCGGCUUUCGCCGCCGCUGCAGACGCUUCGCCACCACCGUCACACGCUCCGCCUCUCUUCCAUGCACGUCUCCCUCCUGCUUCCACUCCUCCGGCUACACCCCCGCCUUAUGGCCUUGCUGCUCGCCGUAGCCCCGCACCUCAACCUCGGGAAGAUACGGACCAGAGCGACGACAUUGAGGAGGAAAAGUAGGAGCGUCGGCGGCGGCAGUGCAGCACGGCGCAAGCCCUAAUAAUUACCGUCGUGACGCCGUGAUUGGACCAUGUUUCGCGGCCAAAUGGCGUGCCUCAGCGAAGCUGCAAGUUGGCACCGCGGCGACGACGCUGGUGAGGUGGUCCGUCGUAGGGAUCGAAACAAGAGUAUGGCGUGUUGGAGGUGAAGGCAACCGCGUCAGCCAUGGCAGAUGAGGAGCAUCCAGAGAUGAUAGAGGAGGCCUCCGAGUGGAUCAUGAUUCAACUCUUGAUGAGCUUGGAGAUGGAGAGGACACUCAAGCAACUUCAUCAUUGGACUUGCGACAUUGACCGUGUUGGAUGGAUUGCUUCCUUCACUGCUUCGUGCAGUCAGGCAGGCAAAGGCUGUUAAUGUGGGCGACGCCAUGCAGGAGGAAGCCACAUGUACAUGUUAGCAUGUUAAGCAGCCUGCCGAGGCCUGAGACGGUGAUUACUGGCUCCACGAGUGUGCCAUCGUCAUUUCGCUUUGUGGUGAGCAGCUACAGGCGAUUCGAAAGACAAAAUCGACCUGUUGGUUUUCCGUGUUCGACGCAUUUUUAACAAGCAGGAGGAACGACUUUCUUCUGUGAGAUUAUACACUUCUCAUUCUUCUAAAAUGUCACA
rnacentral:misc_RNA from 1 species